rnacentral:rRNA from 1 species
AAACGGCUACCAUCGCUAAGGCGAGCAGCAGGCGCGCAACUUAUCCACUGUCCACUCGGACGAGAUAGUGACGAGAAAUAACAAGCCCGUUCUCUUUGAGGUCGGGCAUUGGAAUGGACCGAAUGUAAACGAUUCGGUGAGUACCCACGAGAGGGCAAGUCUGGUGCCAGCAGCCGCGGUAAUUCCAGCUCUCGUAAUGUAUAGAAUUAUUGUUGCGGUUAAAAAGUUCGUAGUUGGAUUUCAUACCGCCAGUGGGUCGUGCCUAACGGUGCGUACUCGCGGCGGUGUUUAUGCCGGGGCGGGCUUGCCUGCCCCAGCAUGGAUUACUUUGAACGGCUUAAGUGCUCAAGGCGGGUCUUCGGACUGAAUACCGGUGCAUGGAAUAAUGGAACAAGGUUUCGGCCGAGUUUUAUUGGUUUUGUCGGCUGAGACAAUGGUUAACAGGAACAGCUGGGGGCACUCGUAUCCCGGCGCGAGAGGUGAAAUUCGUGGACCGUCGGGAGACGCCCUAAAGCGAAGGCAUUUGCCAAGAGUGUUUUCAUUAAUCAAGAACGAAAGUCAGAGGUUCGAAGGCGAUUAGAUACCGCCCUAGUUCUGACCGUAAACGAUACCAACUAUCAAUCCGCCAGUAGCUUUUGGUUAUUGGCGGGCGGAUCGACGGAAACGAAAGUUUUUCGGUUCCGGGGGAAGUAUGGUUGCAAAGCUGAAACUUAAAGGAAUUGACGGAAGGGCACCACCAGGAGUGGAGCUUGCGGCUUAAUUUGACCCAACACGGGAAACCUCACCCGGCCAGUACAUCAUAAGGAUUGACAGAUUGAAAGCUCUUUCAUGAUUUGAUGAAUGGUGGUGCAUGGCCGUUCUUAGUUCGUGGCGUGAGUCGUCUGCUUAAUUGCGAUAACGAGCGAGACUCCGACUGUUAAAUAGCACCCGUUUCUUUUCGAGCGGGCGGCUUCUUAACUGGAUUCGCGGCUUCAAGCCGCAAGAAAUGGAGCAAUAACAGGUCUGUGAUGCCCUUAGAUGUUCGGGGCCGCACGCGUGCUACAAUGAUGGUAACAGCGUGAUUGUCCUCGCCCGACAGGGCUUGGCAAACAGUUGAGAUAUUAUUAUGGCUGGAAUUGAGUGUUGAAAUUUUCUCUCAUGAACGAGGAAUUCCAAGUAAAUGCGAGUCAUCAACUUGCAUUGAUUACGUCCCUGCCCUUUGUACACACCGCCCGUCGCUACCCGGGACUGAGUUGUUUCGAGAAAUCUACGGACCGGCCGCUUCUCGCAAGAGACCCGGCUGGAAAGUGAAUUAAUCGCAACGGCUUGAACCGGGUAAAAGUCGUAACAAGGUAUCAGUAGGUGAACCUGCUGAUG